UACGUAGGGGCCUAGCGUUGUCCGGAUUUAUUGGGCGUAAAGAGCUCGUAGGCGGUUUGGUGAGUCGGGUGUGAAAUCUCCACGCUCAACGUGGAGGGGCCACCCGAUACUGCCAUGACUAGAGUCCGGUAGGGGAGACUGGAAUUCCUGGUGUAGCGGUGAAAUGCGCAGAUAUCGAGGAGGAACACCGGUGGCCGAAGGCUGGGUCUCUGGGCCGAGUACUGACGCUGGAGGAGCGAAAGCGUGGGGAGCGAACAGG
rnacentral:rRNA from 1 species